AUUGAACGCUGGCGGCAGGCCUAACACAUGCAAGUCGAGCGAGCGGCGGACGGGUGAGCAAUGUAUGGGGACUGCCCGAUAGCGGGGGAUAACUACUGGAAACGGUGGCUAAUACUGCUUACUAACGGAUAACACACAUGUGAUUAGCUAGUAGGUGGGGUAAAGGCUCACCAGGGCGACGAUCUUUAGCUGGUCGGAGAGGUUGAUAGGCCACACUGGGACUGAGACACGGCCCAGACUCCGACGGAGGCAGCAUGAGGGAAUAUUGCGCAAUGGGCGAAAGCCUGAUGCAGCCAUGCCGCGUGUAUGAAGAAGGCCUUAGGGUUGUAAAGUACUUUCGGCAGAGAGGCGUUACCCGAAGAGAAAGCACCGGCUAACUCCGUGCCAGCAGCCGCGGUAAUAC
rnacentral:rRNA from 1 species